CGAGAGCAGUCAGCGUCAACGAGCGCCAACCUGAGACACCCUGCUGCCCCAUAGGUUUCCCAGAGACUAUGGGUUGAGGAGGAAUUGGAAGUUUGUCGGCUUAGACCUGGUGUCAUUCCAUCAGUGUUAAACUUCCCGGUUCAUCUUGGAAGAGUACGUGCCAGAAAGACCACGACCAAGCAGCCUUGAGAUCUUAGGCAGCGUCUCCCUGAGGUCCCUCUCUAUCUCCCCACACAUCCACCAACCACUGGAACACAUCUCCAAAGUUCUGCCGGGCCAGCUCAGCUUCCCCUCAGAAGAAGUGCCGCCACCUGCCAGAUGAAGGAGCCUUUUGAGAGGCAGCUGGCAUCGUGAUUGGACUGUACUUUGGUCUGUUCCAAUCCAGCUUCAGCUCCAGAGACGGCAGGCGGGACGAGUCAACGGAGGCCGGGUGGACGAAGGCAUGCAGCUGAGUACAAUCCAGAAAACAACAGAGGAGGAGUGCAGCAUCCCAGGGCCAGAACAGGCAGAGUAGCAUCGUAUGUCUCUUAGAAAACAUCAUAGUAUAGCCUUUGCUAUGAAAAAACACCAUCAUAUACAUUGUAUAUUGUACAAAUAACAAGUCAAAGGAAAGAGACAUACAUUGUAGAAUUGUAGUAAUUGUGGGCUGACUGAUUUACUGAUUAUCAGUAUUUUAUUUUUUACUGAUUUACGGUAAUAAAUACAUUUAAAAAUGG
ensembl:lncRNA